GGGUUUCAACAUAAUGCUAUUGUAACACAUGUUAUAUGCGGCGGCUCUCACAAGAUAGUGAGACCGGCAGUCGCAUAGAAUAGCCUGACUUAAGAUUUCUUUCCAAAUUUGUGGCGGCUUUCAAAAUAGACAGAGGUCUAAUCAUUUUAACAGAAAAUCAACAUUUUUACAGUUGUAAAUAAGAUUAGUCGAUACUUUAAAAUAAACCUUAAUUACAGUCCUUAGUUUGCUUUACAAAAAAAAAAAAAAAAAAAAAAAAAAAUUGGAAAAGGGCUCAUCAUAUUCGUGUUCAUACCUCUUUUAAAGAAGAAAAAGCUUGGGUCCUAAACUUUUGCAGACCUAAAGUAAUAAAAGUGCUUAUUAGGUUGGAUUUUAUUGUUUUU
rnacentral:lncRNA from 1 species